AACGAACGCUGGCGGCAGGCUUAACACAUGCAAGUCGAGCGCCCCGCAAGGGGAGCGGCAGACGGGUGAGUAACGCGUGGGAACGUACCCUUUGCUACGGAAUAACUCCGGGAAACUGGAACUAAUACCGUAUGUGCCCUUCGGGGGAAAGAUUUAUCGGCAAGGGAUCGGCCCGCGUUGGAUUAGCUAGUUGGUGGGGUAACGGCCUACCAAGGCGACGAUCCAUAGCUGGUCUGAGAGGAUGAUCAGCCACACUGGGACUGAGACACGGCCCAGACUCCUACGGGAGGCAGCAGUGGGGAAUAUUGGACAAUGGGCGCAAGCCUGAUCCAGCCAUGCCGCGUGAGUGAUGAAGGCCCUAGGGUUGUAAAGCUCUUUCACCGGAGAAGAUAAUGACGGUAACCGGAGAAGAAGCCCCGGCUAACUUCGUGCCAGCCGCCGCAGUAACAC
rnacentral:rRNA from 1 species